rnacentral:rRNA from 1 species
GAUGAACGCUGACAGAAUGCUUAACACAUGCAAGUCGAUGGGGAAGUGGUGCUUGCACCAUGGCACCCGUGGCGCACGGGUGAGUAACACGUAAGGGACUUCCCUGCAUGACUGUGGUAACAGGUGGAGACUCCUGACCUGACCGCAGAUUGUCAUUGAUCUUCCUUGCUUUGUGAUGAAAGGAGACGCCUGCGGAGAGCCUUGCGUCCUCUUAGCGAGUUGGUGAGGUAAUGGCUCAACAAGGCGAAGUUAGGUAGCGGGCCUGAGAGGGUGGACGGCCACAAGGGGAGUGAGAUACGGCAGUUACUCAUACGGGAGGGAGGAGUGGGGAAUAGUGGAAAAUGGGGGCAACUCUGAUCGAGAAAUUGUGUGUGGACGAAGAAGGUUUGGGGAUUGUAAAGUGUUUGCAGGAGAGAAGAAGUAAGUGACGGUACCGGGAGAAGAAGCGACGGCUAAAUACGUG